GCCCGAUUGGUGUAACGGUAGCACAGAGGGAGUAGUCGCAGUAGGACGCAUGAAGCAAUAAGUCGGCCAAGUUAUACCCUCAGGUCCUCGGUUCGACUCCGAGAUGGGGCA